rnacentral:rRNA from 1 species
ACACGACUCUGGCAACGGAUAUUAGGCUCUCGCAUCGAUGAAGAACGUAGCAAACUGCGAUACUUGGUGUGAAUUGCAGAAUCCCGUGAACCAUCGAGUCUUUGAACGCAAGUUGCGCCCGAAGCCAUUAGGCCGAGGGCACGUCUGCCUGGGCGUCACGCAUCGCGU